CGGCACUCUCUCAGCUCAUCGACGAAGACGGCUGGUGAUCCUCACGAACGACAUGUUACUUUUUUUUCUUUCUUCUUUUGGCAGCACGAUACCCGCGAUCACCUCUCAACGUGACAUGGACGUCGUCAUGCGCAUCACUGGCGCCAUGUUAAGGAGCGCCACGUACUGAUGCCUUCCAAAGCAAGGCGUUGUCUUCAUCGACAAGACGAUGCCAGCUUCAGGUGGGAUGUUUUUCCCGUGCCUACCACCUGUCGGUGUGCACCCGAGGCA
rnacentral:lncRNA from 1 species